CGGGGCGUGGCGCAGUUGGCUAGCGCGCAUGGUUUGGGACCAUGAGGCCCUGGGUUCAAGUCCCAGCGCCCCGACCA
rnacentral:tRNA from 1 species